rnacentral:hammerhead_ribozyme from 1 species
AUCCAGAUGACGAGUCCCAAAUAGGAUGAGACGCGCAUCGUGUAU